rnacentral:rRNA from 1 species
UACGAAGGGGGCUAGCGUUGCUCGGAAUCACUGGGCGUAAAGCGCACGUAGGCGGAUUGUUAAGUCGGGGGUGAAAUCCUGGAGCUCAACUCCAGAACUGCCUUCGAUACUGGCGAUCUCGAGUCCGGGAGAGGUGAGUGGAACUCCGAGUGUAGAGGUGAAAUUCGUAGAUAUUCGGAAGAACACCAGUGGCGAAGGCGGCUCACUGGCCCGGUACUGACGCUGAGGUGCGAAAGCGUGGGGAGCAAACAGG